GGCCCCGUAGCUCAGCGGCCCAGAGCCGUCGACUCAUAAUCGAUAAGACCUCGGUUCGAAUCCGAGCGGGGCUA
rnacentral:tRNA from 1 species